AUUGAACGCUGGCGGCAGGCCUAACACAUGCAAGUCGAGCGGAUGAAGGGAGCUUGCUCCUGGAUUCAGCGGCGGACGGGUGAGUAAUGCCUAGGAAUCUGCCUGGUAGUGGGGGAUAACGUCCGGAAACGGGCGCUAAUACCGCAUACGUCCUGAGGGAGAAAGUGGGGGAUCUUCGGACCUCACGCUAUCAGAUGAGCCUAGGUCGGAUUAGCUAGUUGGUGGGGUAAAGGCCUACCAAGGCGACGAUCCGUAACUGGUCUGAGAGGAUGAUCAGCCACACUGGAACUGAGACACGGUCCAGACUCCUACGGGAGGCAGCAGUGGGGAAUAUUGGACAAUGGGCGAAAGCCUGAUCCAGCCAUGCCGCGUGUGUGAAGAAGGUCUUCGGAUUGUAAAGCACUUUAAGUUGGGAGGAAGGGCAGUAAGUUAAUACCUUGCUGUUUUGACGUUACCAAAAGAAUAAGCACCGGCCAACUUCGUG
rnacentral:rRNA from 1 species